CAACAUGAGAGUUUGAUCCUGGCUCAGAACGAACGCUGGCGGCAGGCUUAACACAUGCAAGUCGAACGCCCCGCAAGGGGAGUGGCAGACGGGUGAGUAACGCGUGGGAAUCUACCCAACUCUACGGAAUAACUCAGGGAAACUUGUGCUAAUACCGUAUACGCCCUUCGGGGGAAAGAUUUAUCGGAGUUGGAUGAGCCCGCGUUGGAUUAGCUAGUUGGUGGGGUAAAGGCCUACCAAGGCGACGAUCCAUAGCUGGUCUGAGAGGAUGAUCAGCCACAUUGGGACUGAGACACGGCCCAAACUCCUACGGGAGGCAGCAGUGGGGAAUAUUGGACAAU
rnacentral:rRNA from 1 species